CCUACGGGAGGCAGCAGUGAGGAAUAUUGGUCAAUGGGCGCGAGCCUGAACCAGCCAAGUCGCGUGAGGGAAGACGGUCCUAUGGAUUGUAAACCUCUUUUGUCGGGGAGCAAAAGACGCCACGCGUGGCGUUCCGAGAGUACCCGAAGAAAAAGCAUCGGCUAACUCCGUGCCAGCAGCCGCGGUAAUACGGAGGAUGCGAGCGUUAUCCGGAUUUAUUGGGUUUAAAGGGUGCGCAGGCGGAAGAUCAAGUCAGCGGGAAAAUUGAGAGGCUCAACCUCUUAGAGCCGUUGAAACUGGUUUUCUUGAGUGAGUGAGAAGUAUGCGGAAGGCGUGGUGUAGCGGUGAAAUGCAUAGAUAUCACGCAGAAAUGCGAUUGCGAAGGCAGCAUACCGGCGCUCAACUGACGCUCAUGCACGAAAGUGUGGGUAUCGAACAGGAUUAGAUACCCUUGUAGUC
rnacentral:rRNA from 1 species